rnacentral:rRNA from 1 species
GGUAUUUUGACUAUACGAAGGUAUUGAAAUAAGGCUUUAAUUGAGUGCUAAGAGAAUGGUUAAACAAGGAUUAACUUUCUUUAUGUUUAAAAUGUAAGUUGAUUUAAAAAUGAAAAAGUUUUUAUGAGUUUUUGGGACAAGAAGACCCUAUGAAUUUUUUUUUAAAAAAAAUUUAUAAUUUUUUAUAAAAUUGAGUAAGUAUUGUUUGAAAUUAAUUGGGGUGAUUUUUAAAGUUUAUAAAUCUUUAAAGUUAGAAGGAAUUAGAACCAAAAAUUUUGGUUUUUUGAAUAAAAUACUCUAGGGAUAACAGCGUUAUUAUUUUGGAUAGUUCAUAUAGAUAAAAUAGUUUGCGACCUCGAUGUUGGAUUAAGAUACUUUUGUAAUGUAGCAGUUAUAAGGGGAAGUUUGCUCAACUUUUAAAAUCUU